UCUCCCUUUCUCUUCCCGGCGCCGCCACCCCUCUCCUCGCCGCGCCGCGCCGCAAGCUGGACUCGUCGGGUUCGGCACCGACGGCGACGGCCGACGCCGCUUUCCCUCAGCACAGCGGACGCGUCUCCCCUGGUUUCUCACCGAAUAACAUGAGCAGAGCCCUGCCGUCGCAAGAAUGGACAAGGAAAAGAGGAAGAAGAAGAGCUUGAUUUCCAUUAUAAAGACUACGCCGCCUGUCCCGGCCUUCCGGGAAGCAGAAGGGGAAGGGCAAUGCAGCUACUGCGUCGCUGCCGAGGAAGCGGGCGAAAGAUUACAGCAAUGUCCUGCUCGCUGAGUUGUUGUUUAGGGUAAAAUAAACUCCGCAGCGUCGAUGUCUCGCUGAUCCCACUGACGCUGGUGUGCUUUCUGCGAUCGCCGCUGCCUCCGGCUUCACAAACGACUCCGAGAGGGAGGCUAUAUCUUCACCAGCAAUGAAGCAUGAUAAGCAAGCGGAGGAGGAUGAUGAAAAGGAGGACAAGGAUGAUCAAGAUGCUCUGUUUGAGGAGGAAGAUUCUCAUUUUGAUGUCAAAGCGUUAAGUGUUAUGCUGUACAAAAUUGCAUUGUUUGGCUGUCAACGUUUAAUAUUUUUGCUGUAUAAAGUUCAAAGGAGGUACUGUCCAAAAUUAAAAAGCAAUGCUGCCCAAUUCUUUGUUUGA